rnacentral:rRNA from 1 species
AACGAACGCUGGCGGCAGGCCUAACACAUGCAAGUCGAGCGAGGACUUCGGUCCUAGCGGCGGACGGGUGAGUAACGCGUGGGAACGUGCCCUUUGCUUCGGAAUAGCCCUGGGAAACUGGGAGUAAUACCGGAUGAGCCCUUUGGGGGAAAGAUUUAUCGGCGAAGGAUCGGCCCGCGUUGGAUUAGGUAGUUGGUGGGGUAAUGGCCUACCAAGCCGGCGAUCCAUAGCUGGUUUGAGAGGAUGAUCAGCCACACUGGGACUGAGACACGGCCCAGACUCCUACGGGAGGCAGCAGUGGGGAAUCUUAGACAAUGGGGGAAACCCUGAUCGAGCCAUGCCGCGUGAGCGAUGAAGGCCUUAGGGUUGUAAAGCUCUUUCAGCUGGGAAGAUAAUGACGGUACCAGCAGAAGAAGCCCCGGCUAACUCCGUG